ACGUUGGUGGUUCAGUGGGAGAAUUUUUGUCUUUCAUGCAGGAGACCUGGAUUCAAUUCCUGGCCAAUGCA
rnacentral:tRNA from 1 species